rnacentral:rRNA from 1 species
UACGGAGGGGACUAGCGUUGUUCGGAAUUACGGGGCGUAAAGCGCACGUAGGCGGAUUUGUAAGUCAGGGGUGAAAUCCCGGGGCUCAACCUCGGAACUGCCUUUGAUACUGCAAAUCUCGAGUCCGGAAGAGGUGAGUGGAAGUUCCUCAGUGUAGAGGUGAAAUUCGUAGAUAUUAGGAAGAACACCCAGUGGCGUAAGGCGGGUCUCUGGACAGUUCC